rnacentral:rRNA from 1 species
GACGAACGCUGGCGGCGUGCUUAACACAUGCAAGUCGAACGGAAAGGCCCUGCUUUUGUGGGGUGCUCGAGUGGCGAACGGGUGAGUAACACGUGAGUAACCUGCCCUUGACUUUGGGAUAACUUCAGGAAACUGGGGCUAAUACCGGAUAGGAGCUCCUGCUGCAUGGUGGGGGUUGGAAAGUUUCGGCGGUUGGGGAUGGACUCGCGGCUUAUCAGCUUGUUGGUGGGGUAGUGGCUUACCAAGGCUUUGACGGGUAGCCGGCCUGAGAGGGUGACCGGCGACAUUGGGACUGAGAUACGGCGCAGACUCCUACGGGAGGCAGCAGUGGGGAAUAUUGCACAAUGGGCGGAAGCCUGAUGCAGCAACGCCGCGUGCGGGAUGACGGCCUUCGGGUUGUAAACCGAUUUCGCCUGUGACGAAGCGUGAGUGACGGUAAUGGGUAAAGAAGCACCGGCUAACUACGUG